AUUGAACGCUGGCGGCAUGCCUUACACAUGCAAGUCGAACGGUAACAGGUCUUCGGCCGCUGCCGAGUGGCGAACGGGUGAGUAAUGCAUCGGAACGUGCCCAGUCGUGGGGGAUAACUGCUCGAAAGAGCAGCUAAUACCGCAUACGACCUGAGGGUGAAAGCGGGGGACCGUAAGGCCUCGCGCGAUUGGAGCGGCCGAUGUCAGAUUAGCUAGUUGGUGGGGUAAAGGCCUACCAAGGCAACGAUCUGUAGUUGGUCUGAGAGGACGACCAGCCACACUGGGACUGAGACACGGCCCAGACUCCUACGGGAGGCAGCAGUGGGGAAUUUUGGACAAUGGGCGCAAGCCUGAUCCAGCAAUGCCGCGUGCAGGAAGAAGGCCUUCGGGUUGUAAACUGCUUUUGUCAGGGAAGAAAUCUUCUGGGCUAAUACCCCGGGAGGAUGACGGUACCUGAAGAAUAAGCACCGGCUAACUACGUG
rnacentral:rRNA from 1 species